AAUGACGAAGCCCCGCGGCAGCGAAGCCGGCAGUGCGCCGGCGCGUCCCUUCCCCCGAUCCAACUUGUGUCUUCAUCGCUGUGUGAUGCCAAAUUAGGAGCACCACCAGGUUUAUGUUAAGAGCACGUUUUUUAUUCACUCCAUCUGCGAGCCUCAAGUAAGCCCUUCAUUGACCAGCUAUUUCUACUGUUUAUUUGCUUUUCCAUAGUCAUGAUACUAUGGUUCUAUAAUGUUGUACAGUCUCAGUGUCAGAUAAAUGAACAAGAUUUUGAAAUUAUGAUCUAGCUAUUUCAGUGUGCCUAACUUGAACUAUGCUUCAUAAAUGAAACAAACGGAUGCUUUGCCUGUGAAUUAGCAGAUGCUGCUAUCUGUUGUCCGCUUCUAGAUGAACAUUACAUAUUGCCUUGAUGGUUCUUUCUGAAAAUAGGGUGUAGACAUUAAUUGAGAAACUUCUUAUUGGACGGCCUAGAGACAUUUAGAUUAAUACUCUCUCAAAACAUAAAAUAUAACCGUAUGCAUCUUCUCUAUUGUUACCUUCAGGUUGCUCAUGUUAUGCUUUUUCAUUCCAGUAGUAGUAGGAUGGUAGCUCCUGGCAGUGUCUUUAGUUCACUACCAUUGUUAGAUAAAUCAAAAUGCCUAACAAAAGUAUAUAUUUAGUGAACAGAUUUCUCCCUGCACUUUUCUAUUUACAUCUGUGCAUUGCAGAGAGAUUAGUAUGGAGGAGGACGACAACUCCGCCCGAGCCCGUGCCCACGACCGCCCAAGCUGCCAUAGCUCAACACUGCCUUUGCACAUGGAUUCGGCCAUGCCCACCCUGCCCUGAUCUAGCUGCCCGUUUAAUUUUGCCACUGAGGAACUGGCGCCCAUGGAGGUACGCCCCUUCCAGUGGUGGGAGGACAAGCUGGGAGCAGAUUGCGGAGGUGGUGGCGGAGGUGGUUGAGGACGACAACGACAAGCCGCCCUGGCUCUGCCUGCCCUAGCUGAAAUAGCUCUGCAACCAGCUUUGAAACAACAGCUAUUGCAGGAGCAUCCGCAACCUAACUCCAUCAAUUCCCAUAUUACAUAAUUGAUAUUGGUUUGUAAUUUUGCCAUUUGUAGCGCCAAAAGAAAUUAACACAUUGUACGACUGUAUUGUGUACCAUCGUAGAUCGUCACUGGAUAAUUUGCAUGACUGUCAUAUACAUGAGACAAAAAAAAUACAUAACAUGUAAUUGGUCUUCGCAGGCUGCAAACUACCUAGACCUGCCUGAGUGUCACGGAGAUGAUGAAGGGGGAGACUUUAGAGGACAUUCCCAAAAAGUUCAACAUCAAGAACGACUUCACGACUGAGGAAGAGGAGGAAGUGAUGAGGGAGUAAUAGUGGGCCUUUCGAUAACAACAACAAUAUCCUAUAACCAGGCCAGAGGGGAGGUGCUUGUUCAUGAUAUUGAGUUAUGUUUGUUUUGUUGGUCGUGAGCAGACUAUUUUGCUACUUCGAUGUAAUUUUUCAACCAAAUUUCACAGCAUUGCUUAAGAAAAAGAUGUGGACGAUAAAUAGUGUGCUGGGUUGUUUCAUGUGAGCUAUCUUCUUUGAGUAAAAUUCACCGGGUGUCUGUUUUGACACACAAAUUAUGGCCA